rnacentral:tRNA from 1 species
GUGUGCAAAGUGUUGUGGUCGCACGCCUCUCUCCCUAAGAGGAAGCGAGGGUUCAAUUCCCUCUGUGCACU